UACGGAGGGUGCAAGCGUUAUCCGGAUUCACUGGGUUUAAAGGGUGCGUAGGUGGGCAGUUAAGUCAGUGGUGAAAUCUCCGGGCUCAACCCGGAAACUGCCAUUGAUACUAUCUGUCUUGAAUACCGUGGAGGUCAGCGGAAUAUGUCAUGUAGCGGUGAAAUGCUUAGAUAUGACAUAGAACACCAAUUGCGAAGGCAGCUGGCUACACGAAUAUUGACACUGAUGCACGAAAGCGUGGGGAUCAAACAGG
rnacentral:rRNA from 1 species